UGGGAAAUAUUGCACAAUGGGCGAAAGCCUGAUGCAGCAACGCCGCGUGAGUGAUGAAGGCCUUCGGGUUGUAAAGCUCUGUCUUUUGGGACGAUAAUGACGGUACCAAAGGAGGAAGCCACGGCUAACUACGUGCCAGCAGCCGCGGUAAUACGUAGGUGGCAAGCGUUGUCCGGAUUUACUGGGCGUAAAGGAUGCGUAGGCGGAUUUUUAAGUGAGAUGUGAAAUACCCGGGCUUAACUUGGGUGCUGCAUUUCAAACUGGGAAUCUAGAGUGCGGGAGAGGAGAAUGGAAUUCCUAGUGUAGCGGUGAAAGUGCGUAGAGAUUAGGAAGAACACCAGUGGCGAAGGCGAUUCUCUGGACCGUAACUGACGCUGAGGCAUGAAAGCGUGGGUAGCAAACAGGAUUAGAUACCCUGGUAGUCCACGCCGUAAACGAUGAGUACUAGGUGUAGGAGGUAUCGACCCCUUCUGUGCCGCAGUUAACACAAUCAAGUACUCCGCCUGGGAAGUACGAUCGCAAGAUUAAAACUC
rnacentral:rRNA from 1 species